GCUCUCUUCGUUCAUUCGGCAGGACGCCGCUUUGGUAAGGCGGAAAGACAGGAUCAUAGCCUGUAGAGAGCACCA
rnacentral:tRNA from 1 species